rnacentral:rRNA from 1 species
GUUUCGACGUCUAAGGAUGGGACUGCACCGAAUUAGAUUGAUGUUGAGGUAAUGGCCCAACAUGUCUAUAAUUCGUAGGGGCUGUGAGAGCAGUAGCCCCCAGAUGGGUUCUGAGACACUAACCCAGGCCCCACGGGGCGCAGCAGAUGCGAAACCUCCACAAUGCGCGCAAGCGUGAUGGGGGAACCCGAAGUGCUGGCGUACUUCGUCAGCUUUUAUUGAGUCUAAAUCGCUCGGUGAAUAAGUGGUGGGUAAGACCGCUGCCAGCCGCCGCGGUAAUAGCGGCGCCACGAGUGGUAUCCACGUAUAUUGGGUUUAAACCGUCCGUAGCCGGUUCGGUCAGUCUUCUGUGAAAUCUACAAGAAAACUUGUAGGCGUGCGGGGAAACUACCGAACUUGAGACCGGGAGGGGCUAGAGGUACUUUUGGGGUAGUGGUGGAAUACUGUAAUCCCAAAGGGACCACCUGUGGCGAAGGCGUCUAGCUGGAACGGAUCUGACGGUGAGGGACGAAAGCUAGGGGAGCGACACGGAUUAGAUACCCGUUUAGUCCUAGCUGUAAACGAUGCCCGCUUGGUAUUGGAGAUCUUUCGGGGAUCUCCAGUGCCGAAGGAAAACCGUUAAGCGGGCCACCUGGGGAGUACGGUCGCAAGGCUGAAACUUAAAGGAAUUGGCGGGGGAGCACUACAAGGGGUGCAGUCUGCGGUUCAAUUGGAUAAUACGCCGGGAACCUCACCAGGAGCGACAGCAGAAUGAUGGUCAGUCUGAAGGGCUUACCUGACUCGCUGAGAGGUGUUGCAUGGCCGACGUCAGCUCGUGCCGUGAGGUGUCCUGUUAAGUCAGGUAACGAGCGAGACCCGUGUCUUAUGUUGCUACCCAACCUUUCGAGGGUGGGGCACUCAUAAGAGAUCGCUGGCGAUAAGUCAGAUGAAAGGGCGGGCAACGUUAGGUCAGUAUGGCCCGAAUCUCCUGGGCUACACGCGGGCCGCAAUGGCAAGCACAAUGAGAUGCUACUCCGAAAGGAGACGCAAAUCCCCCAAAGCUUGUCUUGGUUCUGAUUGAGGUUUGCAACUCAACCUCAUCAAGGCGGAAUCCCUAGUAGUUGAACUUUAGCACAGUUCGGCGAAUACGUCCCUGCUCCUUGCACACACCGCCCAUCAAACCACCUGAGUUGAUCGUGGAUGAGGCUUUAUCGUCUCGG